AUGUCUUCUUCGUCCUCCAUGUCCUCGUCCUCCUCCUCGUCAUCCGUGCUGUUGAUGUUGAUGACCGCAGAGUCCUCGUUGCUGGCCGUGGGGGCGGCCGGUGGGUGCUGGACACUCCUGGUGGGUUGGCUUAUCUGGUUUUGGAGUUGGUGCAGGAGUCCCAUCGGCGCUGCAGAGUUGGGCUGCAUUAGCAUUUGCUGGAGCUGGGGUCGCACAGAAAGAGGCUCCCCGAGAGUAGCAGGGCCUGGGAGGGCGUUCGGAUCCAUCGGAGGAACUAACGACACCACAGAGACGUUUGAGGGAGGGAAAGAGUUCACUGAAGUGGAGUUUGAUGUGCUUAUGUGGGGCGAGGUCGUGGCCAAGUCAUUAGCCAGGGACAUCCCGUCCAUGGUGGAGGGCGCCGAUGUUGUGGUUGCCAUGGAGGUUGCGUCUGCGCCUGGGGGGACAAUCACCACGCUGUCGUCUGAAUCGCUCGCCAGAGAAAUCUCCACAUCCUCGGCUUCUUCUUUGUCGUAGCGCACAAACACGGGACGCUGACCGUCUGGUGGGCCCACUGGUGCGGAGUCGGGGUGGGGAGGGUGUCCGUGUGGGGACAGCAUUAGGUCAGGGGGGGCUUGUCCGGGUAGUCCCGGGACAAGGGAGAGGUGGUUCUCAAGGGAGCCCAGCAGAGAGCCAUGACCCAGGCCAAGGGAGUGUCUGGAGGGGAAGGAAGGAGCGCCAUUGGGCCCCACUAGAAGAUUGGGCAAAGUGAGUCCUGAACCGGGUCCCUGGGCAGACGGGGUAGGUUUAAGGGUGAGUGGGGGUAACGGCAGGGCGAUGGAGGGGGAUCGAGGAUGGAGGAGGAGGUUACAGAUGGUCAGUGCUUCUGUGCAGAAUGAAGAUACCUGCAGAAACCAUCACAGUACUUUUAGCACAGCUACACUUUAAUAAUAAUAAUAAAAUAAAAUAAGAUAAUAAUAACAAAAUCAUCCACGUUAACUUGCAAAUAGCUAGACUACUUGUAUUAAAAAAGUAAAGAAAAAAACACCUCCUAUAUUUCACUUAAAUUCCUUCAGCUGAAAAAACAGCCACGAGAGACACUCUUCUUGUCUCGGUUGAAAGGGAAGCCGUUUCUGCAUUUCUGUUUACAUUACAAGUUCAAGUUUGCAUACUACAUAAUGGCUCGAUUCACUCAAAGCUAUUAGAGCGCAUCAUUUCCUCAAAGGGAAAAUGAACUAUGCCCCUUUGACUUUAGGUAAACAGGACUGGUUUAAAAGUUGUAACCAACACAUUGCAAAUCUGAAUGCAGGUAGUGUCCAAAUGAUAAAAGCAAAAACCUUGGUAUUUCUGUCUGUGCGGCCUCUGCUCAGGAUGGACACAGCACAGGUCAAAGGGGGAGGCCAACACGGGGAAGGGACCAGGACAAGAGCCAGUAAUAACCUGGAAUUUCACAAGAAAAAACACACUUUUAUUCAGUGUCUACACUUUUUAGUUUGACUGUAUUGUAAUACAUGUUUUACUAUGUGUACCGAUAGAGUUCCUGUCUGCUCAGGGCACUGUUGUACUGGCCACUGACUCCCCCUACUGAUUCACUUGUGCUACUACUGUUCAGUUGCUGCUGAAGACGCACACACAACGGCAACACCACAUCAUGAAGGCGCUAAAAAGACAAAGCAAACAUAUUCAUUUUACUGUCAGAGCAAAGCCACAACUCGGCAACUCGGUUUUAUAACUCGGCACCUUGUGGAUGUCAUCUUUUAGUAGUGUACCACUGGUCAAUAUAAUUUCCUUUAGCACUGAAAAGAAAAAAAAGACAUUACAAAUACAAUUCAAACUCGUGAGUCAUUUAGAAAUCCUCUGGAGAGCUCACCUCUAAGGGCAGAAACACACGUGUCUACGUUGGCCAACUGGUCUCCUUUUCUCUGGAGCAUGGGUGUAGCAGAGUCUGACAUGACCAAAGUCUUUGUUCUGCGAGGACCGGGCUUCCCUCCGGGGACCACAUCCGCCGACAGGCCCGCUCGAAGCUGCACAGCAAACAAACAUUAUUUAGUGGUGUUAUUUUGUUUUAUGAACUCAUCAAGUAGUAGCAUUAAAAUGUAUAUGAAGUUGGCAGUGACCUUGAUGGCGUCAGCUGCUGGGGUGAUUUCCCCCAGCAGAUGAGUGAACAGGAGCUCGGAGUGAGCGGAGCUGCCCUGUAAGAUGUUUGCCGAGGCUCCAGUCACCUGCACCCACAGCUCUAAGGCCUUGUACACCGCUACCCGCACAGAACUGAAAAAUGAAAGAUGGUAUACUCAAUUAUCCUUUUACUUUUUAAAAACACAUUUGUAAAAUAGUGAUGAUCCAGUCCACAAUCAACUUUAAGAAUAAUCCAAGCAAAACGAAUGCCCAAAGACAGUAGUAAAUAUAUAAUUUACACAUUUGAAUUAAUAUUGUCCUGGAAGGAUGACGGCAUCCAUAUUGUUUUGUUCUCUUUUUUAGAAAUGGUGCAGCAAUUAGCUUGUGCUACAUUAGGAUUUGUGCCGUAUGUGUUUAAGAUUAACAACUGCUCAUUGCAUCUUACCUGUAUGCUCUCUGCUGGCCCAGACUGGUCUCAGGUAGAGGUGUCCAAGCUGACAGAGUCUGAGAAAACAACCUCUGCAGGACUGCAGCGUACUGAACCAUUCCCACACGUGACCUGGGAAGGAGACAGAUUUGAGAAUAAUUUUUUUCCUCAACAAAAUAAGUUACUGUAUAUUCUACUCACGCAGUAAUAAGUGCAGACAGGACGUCCAGUGUGUUGGUGUGUAUGAUGGGCAAGACCAGCAACCUCACACUGCCAUCCCCAGUUAGAUUCUGAAAUUGAAAUAAAGACUUUUGAAAUGACAAAUCUCAAGUUUAUCAUAACUUUAGGAAUGUGUCCUUACUAUGCUUUUAGAGCUGACAGCGAGGGCUCGACACACAAGAUUAAGUAUUGGUCUGACAGGGAGCCGGACUGCUGAUGCCGGAUCCACCCUGAUGGACACAUAUUUAACGGAGGCAUAUAAAUGUUAAUGUUGUAAUUCCUUUUAACAAUUCUUUGUUCAAGUUACCUGAGAGUGUGCUUUAGUGCCAGACAGACCGCUGUGUAUCGGUGCUGGAGCUGAAGCACCAAGAGGGGGUCAGAAUGGUCGAGCGGAGGAAAAGCUAGCUCCACCCCUGGGCCUUCAUAUUGCACUGUUCCUUCUGCAGAGCACAGCCCAGCAUACAACUUACACUACUUCCAAAAUGAAUAUGUGUAAGAAUUCAACCUCUAUGACGCACCCGUCUCUGAUCCAUGGUAGAUUUGAUCCAGCAGAGCAUUGGCUGAAGCGAGCAGGCAGUGAAUCUGAGUGGUCCAGCCCUCCGCUCUUCCUGCCCCCACCCCUCGAUCCAAUAGGCCCCCCAGACAGGGCAGGCGACCGUAACACUGGCACGCCAUCUGAGGCAAAGGUACAGCAAUAGUAAUAAUUAGUAUUAGGGCUGCAUAAUUUUGUGAUUAUAUCUUUUUUUUGGCAUGGGGCAUAAAUGAGAGAAAACUGAAAAAUGAACUGUCAUGAACAAAAAGGACAAUCGUAGGCCUUUCAGAACACAUUUGUAGGAGGUCUAAACUACAGAGAUGGCAGGUUAAAAAAACUUUGUGACCUUUUAAUUGCAACCAUCCAAAUUACAAUUUUUAUUAGAUUACAAUUAGUUGUGCAACCCUACGACAGUAUAUAAAGUAUAAAUCGAUAUACCUCUUGAGUCUUCUUGUUGGUGCUAUCCAUUUUAGAAAGGAAAUACGCUCCAAGCUUAUCCUAGGAAGAUUUCAAAAGUGUUAUUCACUGCAAGUUUUCAACACAUUCCAUUAAAGCCUUACCCUCAACGACCCACAAGCGCGAGGGUAGUGGUUCAUACAAGCGGUCAUCCCUUCCAUAGCUGCCAACUCGCACUGUUGCCACAAAAGCAGGGUAAAGCAUUACAAGACAAAAACACAUAAUCAAGAAGCGUAUGAUCUUACAUACCUCUGAUUUAAGACCUAGCAGAGAUGUGAGGAUUCCCAGGAUGGAGUUGAGACCCACAUCUCUUGACAGCUCAGCGAUUUGUGACGAAUACUGCAACACAUCUUUUAAAAUGUUCACCGCUAGCUGAAUGGUCUGGACCGGAGCUUGAGACUGGACACGGGGCGACAAAAUUAGUUACGCGCGAAUUUAGCAAGUCUGGGAAACAUUUACCAUGGGUUUAUGAUGCUACCUGGAUAACCUGUUGUAGGGAGCGCAGCCAGGAGAGGCAGUGCUGCUGGAAAACUUCACUGGAGCUGUCCUUGACCAGCAUCGAGAGCAGACACAGGCCCUCGAACCUGCAACAUUUAGCACGACAACCAUCAAUUACAUUACAUACUAGGGCCGGCAAUUUGCUAAAGGUUUAAUAUCAUGGUUGCCAAUUCAUAGGGCA
ensembl:lncRNA